GCAAAAAUUGUGAGAUCUAGUAAUCAUUCGAAAACGUACUCGCUCGAUCUCCUACACCUGAACACACACUCUAGUGAUCCUUCUCGAUCGCUCUCAUGAUUCCUCUCGAUCCCCUAUGCUCGAUCUCUCUUUCUCCGCUCAAUCGCUUUGUUUCAGAUGUUCACUCUCUGUCAAUCUGCAUACUCUCCAAUCUUUGUGUUCAAUGUGUGCCCUAGAUCUCUCUAUCUCUUCGAAGGUAUAUCUUCGAUCUUGUCGAUCUGUAAUAUUUAUUUGAAUGUUUGUUUUUAAUUCCAUUAGUUAUAUCGAAUAAAAAGAGAUAAAUGAAUUUGUGUAUAAAUCCCCAGCCAUUGAGACAUGGACACAAAAGAAGAAGCAUUUUUCAAUUCAAUUCCUCCCAUAUUUCAACUUCUCUCAAAUUUGCUCACAUCUGAAAUUUGCUCACAUCUGAUUCGUGUUUCUAUGGGUGUAGGUUCCAAUUUCAUUCUAUUUUUUCCUAUUUUGAUUUUGAUUUUUGAGCUAUAAAUGGUAAUCUUUAUUUUGAUUUUAAUUUUUGCGCUAUCUAUGAUCUCAAGCCCCAAAUCCAAACCCUAGAGCAUAUUUUUUAUCUUCUUGUGUUUAUUUGAGCGUGUUGACGAAUUCUAAUUUGGUUCUUAAUAGAGGUUUGUGUAUCCACUUGUGUGCAUAUGAAUCAAGUCAAUUAAGUACUACUUUACCAAGGUGCAACUAGGUACUCCUCUAGUAGAAUUUUAUGUGCAAAUUGACACUGGAAGUGAUGUUCUUUGGGUCAGCUGCAGUUAUUGCAAUGGUUGUCCACAAACAUGUGGGCUACAGAACGUAUUUUCAUAAAACAGGGGGCAGGCCGGAGACUAAGCAUUUGAUAUCUCAAAUCCCAUUAUUAGUGCCCCAGGUGAGAAUGACUUUUUUUUAAUGAUUUUCACCUAUGUGUAGCCCCAAUCACCAAAGGUUAAAAGAAGACUAAUUGCUAUUAUAUUGUAGGUGCCACAACAAAAAGAUGGUACUGAGUGUGGGAACUUCUUCCUUUAUUUCAUUAAAUUGUUUAUGGAGCUCGCACUUAAUAAUUUUAGUAGGGAGGGGUACCCUUACUUUGUAUGUUUUCUCUUGGCAUUUCAAUUUAGUUUUGUUUGAUAUUGGCAUGAUGCAAUGAAAAAAUAUUUGCUUAAAUUCAAAUAACCUUCAUAAGGCGAAGGAAGUAAAAGGUGGGUUAGACUCUGUUAGUCUUUAUUCAUGUAAUCAAUGCUCUGCUGCAAGGGAGUCUCUAUUAGUAAUAAGCAAGCAGAUUGAAUUCUUUCUAAUUGAAGUGUGUGUUUUUCAUGUAUGAGUAUUGAACUAAAAUAUUUCUCUAUGGUUUCAGCCACAAUAUUCUUAUGUUGGUGGAGAUGGAUCAGUUCCUGUUGAAUCUACCAAGACCGAUGGACUUGAAGCCGUUGAAAGGAUAGGAGUUUCUGCUGGUCACCGUGGAUUAUUACGAGACAAAACUGUAUUUAAACUUAUUCAGAAAUGGUUGGAUAUUUGAUAUUUAUGCAGCAGAUGGAUUGGUGAAUGUCCAGGUAGUCUAAAACUACUGGAUAUGGUAUAAUUUAAUUCUGCAUCAUGUAUAGUAGAAUUCAUUAUUGGAUAAUGUGUACUAUAUUCGGUGAUCAUGGAGUUAUGUGUAUCUUGUUCUCUCACAUCUCCAAGAAACUUGGCUGUUGUGUGACUAAUUUCUUAGUCCUCAACAUGUACUAAUAAAUGUAUUAUUAUUUGAGCAUUUUUAUUAUUAUGCUCUAUAUCAACAUGUUCAAAUGUAAACUACUUUCACAGUGAGAAAUACUUAUGUUAAAUUAACAUGGCUCUCUUAGGAAAAUAGAAAUGGAAAAUGCUAGUUGAGGGAGAAGCUUUAUGGAACAAGGUACUGAUUUUAAAAUAUGCGAAAUAGGAUUUAAAGUGGUAAAAAUAGUAAUAGAUGUUUUCUCAAGAAGGGUCAGUUAGACAUAGGAAUUGGGAUCAUUGCAUAUCUUUCUAGUUUGAUAACUAUCUAGAAAGUACAGUGAGAUUUGCCUCAACAACUUUCACAAGAUCUUCGAAUGUUUCCGUAAAUAUAUCUUUCACCGAACCUUGUAUAGGCGAAGGUUUUGGAUGCAAGUCUGUGAAUGCCUGCAAUGUAAUCCAUCUACAAUUGCUUAGAUUUCUCAAAACAAGAUGGAGAGAGUAUUUUGUUACCAUAAUAUCAGAUCGAUUUUUAACUUCUCGCUGUUAUAUUUUUCUGCAGCUUCUUGUUUAUGGUGCUGGUCAGGUUGUACCAUUUUCCCUUAAAAUUCUGAAGCCAAACCACAUGUAUUAUCUUGUUAGUUUAUCUCCUAUUUGAUACAGCCGAGCAAUCCUGGUAGUGGAUAGGAGUUUCUGUACUGACAUAGCUGAUAACAGCUUUACAAGAAUGGCGAAUUCGAGUGUUCAUGUGUACAUAUUGACAGAAGAAAGGUUUAUGUCAACAUCAGGACUCAAGCUACUCCAAAUUAACAGUGAAACUAGGACAAUUCAGGCAACUGAUGACUAUAACAAGCUAAAGGUGUAUUUGUACUUCUCAUCUCCAAUUGCAAAUUCAUCUAUGGAAGUUAUUAAUUUUCUCAACAUUAGUCGCUGUUCACUUGUUCCAACUAGUGCAAAAUCUCGGGAAUCGUAGAUUCAGAUUCAUGUCUCGGUGGAAUACAAUUUGAAGUCUAUAAUAACCAGACAAUGGAAUCAAGUUUCUCCAACUGCGCCAAUUAAUUUUCUCCAUGACAGAACGUUUUGCGUGCAUUCUUCUUCAUUCUGCUAUGAUUAUGGACGAACACUGUCCCAAGGGCGAGUAUAACCUUGUCAAAUGAGCUCGACCACAUCUAGGAGAGAGAAGAAGGUUUUAUCAGUUAAUAGAGCCUUGAAAGAACUCAUGAAAGCUGCUCAACUAGCCGCACACUUCUUCCUAAGAAGAGAUCCAAAAAAUGACAAGGUCUUCCAUUAUUAGUUAUUGUAAAUAAAAACAAAAUUUUCUGUUUAUUUAUGUGUAACCUAGAUGUAAUUACAGUAAUUGUAAUUUAUAAAGUUGUUUUUUUCUAUAUUGUUAAUUGUUAAUGAUAUUAUAAAUUGUUUUUUAGUUAAUUUAAUUAUAUAAGAUAUUUAAAAUAUGAAAUUUCUUUUUCAUUGUGUUUUGGUUGCAGUAAUUAAGUAUAAUUU